CUAAUCCCGAUAUAACAGAUUCUUGACUGAUUUUUGCCGCGAAAGCGAAAAAAUGUUCUCAAAUUUGAGAACUGUCCUAAAUUGGUUCUGAGAGAUGGAAGCCGUUUUACAUGGCCUACGUAGUUUUACUUUGUACCACCUCGUUUUAUUUCACACCAUGUAUUCUUUACGGGACGCUCUUUCGGCAGAUAUAUUUUUAGUGAAGUUUCGUAGAGGAGACGUAUAUCGAAAAUGUUGUGAACGAAGCUGAAAUUGGCAUAUUUAUGCACCUAAUUUCAAGCCGGAUUAUCGCCAGAGCACGCAGCGUUUUCGGCCAGCACGAAGGCGGCAACAUAUAGAGGUUAACGUCUCAAUCAAGCAUCGUCAUCAAAACUUUGCACAGAAGAGUGUCAGCGGUGUCGGUCAUCCUCUGGGAUCCUCUUUCUGUUAUUACUGAAGCUCAAUUCCCAAUACAUGAACUGCUUUCCACGAUGCGCAACAUGCAACACCUGCAAUGAGCUGCAACCACGACAGAUGAUUCACAAUCUGUUUUGCUUCUGCGACAUCUAAGUGCAGGGCGUAGUACCCUCACGUGCACCCAGCCUAGUGAACUGCACUCCAUUCGUGUACAACGCGCUUGGCAAGAGUUAUGCUUUUGCCAACUUCUGGGACAGUGGCCCUACAACUGCUUGCGACAGUGCGCGUCUGCGCGACAGGCAUUUCCUCGCCGCAAGUGUUACAUCACAGAAAGUGAUACAUGUACAUGUAAUUGUGAAUUGUAAAUACUUUUCAUCCAAUUCAACUUUUAGUAUGUGCUUCUCUUUGUUGAACAGCAAUGGGUAACCAACUCUUCUCCUAUCCAUUCAUUCUCCUGCUCGUGUUUGUGUGGUGGUUGUAUACUGUAUACCCAUUGAAUGAUUAAUGUACUGCAGUAUCAGGUUUUGUCUGGUGAUAUAUUCACGUCCAAAUAUGUUCAAUUUUCACUUGAGCACACAAGGGUUGGAAGCUUAGAAACACUAUACAUCUAUUCUUAAGGGUGUUCUCCAUUGAUAUUUUGAUUGAUCUCACCUGUUCAA